GGCUGGGGAGGGGGAGGCCCGGCGGGAGGCCCUGGCUCUCAUUUCAAUCACAAAGGGCGGCCACAGGCACGCCGCCGCCAUGCUGCACGCGGGGCCUUCGCUGCAGGUGUUGUUCCAGGGCAUUUGUGCUCCCUGGGGCGUGCAUCAGGAAUAUACACCAGUUCUUGUUGGCAUAAACCUAAGAACAUCUACUGGAGAGCACAGCAUGGGUAAUUUGCUCUGUCUUGUAGUACGCUGGAACCAUUUAAAACAAUUAAGCAGGAAAACAGCGUGACGUGAACAGGGGGAAGCCUCUGAAAAGCUACCUCAUGUGGCUUCUGGUGGAGUUCAUCAGGACGGAGGCUGCGGUUUGAAGCCGAGUUCUUCACCACGGUGCUGCUUUGCUUGCACACUCAGCAGAAGGGGCACGAUGAGCUGGGGCAGCAGGGAGCCCAUAUCCAGGGACGGCCGCUCACUGGGUGCCAGCCAGCAGCUGAAGUCACCAGUUGUGGAUCAGCACAAGAGGAGAAGAGGGUUUAAAAAAAAAAAAAUAAAAAAAAAAGGAAAGAAAAGCUUUGAGUGAUUGAGAAGCUGUGCUUGGGGCUGGCGCAUCCCCAGGGCCUCAUCCCCAGCGGCCCCAGGCCAAGCUGCCUCAUCUGUGCUAGGGUCCUGCCUCCCAAUUCUGCUCUGCGCCCAGCUGGCCUUCAGCUGCAGCCCCCGUGGAUCAGAAAGGUCCCGAUGACAAAUUUCUUUGCAAAGCGCAAAUCCAGCGACGGGAACUGUUUUAUGAGCUCAUCAGCGCGGUACGAGCUGCUGGCAUGGCGCUGAAGUGCCUGGGGAGAAAUGAGGGGUUUCCUUUUGAAACUAAAGGCCCUAUUUAAACCCAAUUCAUUGUGCUGUUAUUGUCGUUGCUGCCUAUUAUCGGGCCUUCUGCUGAUUGCUUUCGGCCUGAUAAGCAAUUAUUGUUAAAAUGAGCCGUGAGACAGCAUGCGAGUGAUGAACAGCGUUUGCAGGUAGAUGGCAAAGCCAGAGUGCGGGGCGGAGGUUAGCAUUUUGUUUGUCUUUACUUAAAUGUGAAUAGUUAAUACUAAUCAGGGGAGCAUUCUGUGUCUAGACACACUUUCAGUUCAUUACUUCCCUGGGCAUGGCACAGUUCUGUUACCGUUUAAAGAAUUAAGUAGUGUUG